CCUACGGGUGGCUGCAGUAAGGAAUAUUGGUCAAUGGACGAAAGUCUGAACCAGCCAUCCCGCGUGCAGGAUGAAAGCCCUAUGGGUUGUAAACUGCUUUUAGCAGAGAAGAAAAGCUUUCAUUAAUGAGAGUCUGACGGUAUCUGCAGAAUAAGCACCGGCUAACUCCGUGCCAGCAGCCGCGGUAAUACGGAGGGUGCGGGCGUUACUCGGAAUUACUGGGUUGAAGGGGUACUAUGGCGGAGGAUUAGAAAUCUUGUCGCUUAACGAUAAAAUGGCCAAUGAUACUGGUACUCUUGAAUUGGGUUGAGGUUAGCGGAAUGUGACAUGUAGCGGUGAAAUGCAUAGAUAUGUCAUGGAACACCAAUUGCGAAGGCAGCUAACUGGGCCUUGAUUGACGCUGAGGCACGAAAGCGUGGGUAGCGAACAGGAUUAGAUACCCCAGUAGUC
rnacentral:rRNA from 1 species